rnacentral:sRNA from 1 species
AUGAAUGUGACCGCCAUCACUUCAAAGUUUGCCAGACAAUCAGUAUUAUCAGAGAAGUUAAAACCCUCGCUGCCAGACGGCGAGGGUUUUCUUUUGG